GGUUGUUGCUGGUCCUCAAACGGGGACAUGUGCACGCUCUGUUUACACAUCCACUCACACCUGUGCACCCUCCGUAGUUCUGUGGUCUGGGGGACCCUGUCUUCCUGCCGUGGUUCUACGUCUUUACACACACACUGUAAUAAAGUCUUAUGGAAUGUAUGCCGCGUCUAACGCAAUACAAUACAACUUUCAGCAACGGAUCUCUUGGCUCUCGCAUCGAUGAAGAACGCAGCGAAAUGCGAUAAGUAAUGUGAAUUGCAGAAUUCAGUGAAUCAUCGAAUCUUUGAACGCACCUUGCGCCCCUUGGCUAUUCCGAGGGGCAUGCCUGUUUGAGUAUCAUGAACACCUCAACUCUCAUGGUUUGCCGUGAUGAGCUUGGACUCUGGGGGUUUUGCUGGCCUGCGGUCGGCUCCCCUCAAAUGAAUCAGCCUCCCAGUGUUUGGUGGCAUCACGGGUGUGAUAAAUAUCUACGCUCGCAGUUGUCCGCCAGGUAACCUUUGGUAACAAAGGUUYGCUGGAGCUCACAGAUGUCUCUCCUCAGCGAGGACAGCUUUUUGAACGUUCGAUCUCAAAUCAGGUAGGACUACCCGCUGAACUUAAGCAUAUCAAUAAGCGGAGGAAAAGAAACUAACAAGGAUUCCCCUAGUAACUGCGAGUGAAGCGGGAAGAGCUCAAAUUUAAAAUCUGGCGUGCCUCUGGUCGUCCGAGUUGUAGUCUAGAGAAGCGUUUUCCGUGCUGGACCGUGUACAA
rnacentral:rRNA from 1 species